AACAGGGUGCUGGAGGAUACUUCAGAACCAAUUACAAAGAGUGUAUGAAACUGAAGAAAAGGACAAGCUCUUGGUGAAGACACACUGGUCCAAGAAAAGGGAAUGCAUCUUUCAGUGGACAAUAGAGCUACCCCCUGCCCCUGCAGAAACUCAGGAUCACUCCUAUCUUCAGUCAGUCGACAUUCAACUAGAGAGAGCGGUGAUCUGUUUCAGCACCUUUGCUACGGACAGCUCCAGCAGCAUCAGCAGACACCGAGCAAACAUUCGUGGAAAGCAGAAUCAUCAGCUUACCUCUACCUACUGUAUGUCACCUGUUCCUAAUGGACCAUAUCAACUGGAUCCACCUCAUUUCUGGCCGGGAGCCUGUCUACUACUACUCAAGGAGUACAGACCAAUAGGUAGGCAAUACACGGUAUGAGAUUCCCUAUCCCUCAUGCAUACUACACUGUCCAAACCUCUAAUAA
rnacentral:lncRNA from 1 species